rfam:Gossypium arboreum cultivar AKA8401 contig_12069_1, whole genome shotgun sequence.
UAGUAAAAAUUUUAUCUAUUUCUACUGUUAAAAACAGUUGUAAUUGAUAGAAUAAUUAGAUAGUUACAUGUGGCCUACUACAUAUACAUCAUACUGAUGUACAGAGAUUAGUUUUUAAUGAUAGAAAUUGAUCUAAUUUUUAACA